rnacentral:rRNA from 1 species
ACUCAAAUGAAUAGACGGGGGCCCGCACAAGCGGCGGAGCAUGUGGCUUAAUUCGAUGCAACCCGAAGAACCUUACCUGGGCUUGACAUGCGGGGUGAAGCCGUGGAAACACGGUCCUCCACGGAGCCCGCACAGGUGGUGCAUGGCUGUCGUCAGCUCGUGCCGUGAGGUGUUGCCUUAAGUGGCGCAACGAGCGCAACCCCUGUCCCUAGUUGCCAGCGGGUCAUGCCGGGAACUCUAGGGAGACUGCCGGUGCCAAACCGGAGGAAGGUGGGGAUGACGUCAAGUCAUCAUGCCCCUUACGUCCAGGGCUGCACACAUGCUACAAUGCGCGGUACAAAGGGCAGCGAUCCCGCGAGGGGGAGCGAAUCCCAAAAAGCCGCGCUCAGUUCGGAUCGAGGUCUGCAACCCGACCCCGUGAAGUCGGAGUCGCUAGUAAUCGCGGAUCAGCAAUGCCGCGGUGAAUACGUUCCCGGGCCUUGUACACACCGCCCGU